rnacentral:rRNA from 1 species
UACGUAGGGGGCAAGCGUUGUCCGGAAUUAUUGGGCGUAAAGCGCGUGUAGGCGGUCCGGUAAGUCCGCUGUGAAAGUCGGGGGCUCAACCCUCGAAUGCCGGUGGAUACUGUCGGGCUAGAGUACGGAAGAGGCGAGUGGAAUUCCUGGUGUAGCGGUGAAAUGCGUAGAUAUCAAGAGGAACACCUGCGGCGAAGGCGGGUUGCUGGGCCGACACUGACGCUGAGGCGCGAAAGCUAGGGGAGCGAACGGG